rnacentral:rRNA from 1 species
UACGGGAGGCAGCAGGAGGGAAUAUUGGACAAUGGGGGGAACCCUGAUCCAGCCAUGCCGCGUGAGGGAAGAAGGUCCUCUGGAUUGUAAACCUCUUUUGGCGGGGGACAAACCUGCGCUACACGCGCAGCUGAGGGUACCCGCAGAAUAAGCACCGGCUAACUCCGUGCCAGCAGCCGCGGUAAUACGGAGGGUGCAAGCGUUGUCCGGAUUCAUUGGGUUUAAAGGGUGCGUAGGCGGUCUUUUAAGUCAGCGGUGAAAUCCCCCGGCUCAACUGGGGAACUGCCGUUGAUACUGAGAGACUUGAGUUCGUCCGAGGUCGCUGGAAUGCGUGGUGUAGCGGUGAAAUGCAUAGAUAUCACGCAGAACACCGAUUGCGAAGGCAGGUGACUGGGACGCGACUGACGCUGAGGCACGAAAGUGUGGGGAGCAAACAGGAUUAGAUACCCUGGUAGUCCACGCCUUAAACUAUGGAUACUAAGUGUCGGCGGUUUACCGCCGGUGCCGCAGCUAACGCAAUAAGUAUCCCGCCUGGGAAGUACGGCCGCAAGGUU